AUGAACGCUGGCGGCGUGCCUAACACAUGCAAGUCGAGCGGCAGCGAGGGGUGCUUGCACCCUGUCGGCGAGCGGCGGACGGCUGAGUAACGCGUGGGAACGUGCCCCAAAGUGAGGAAUAACUGCCCGAAAGGGUAGCUAAUACCGCAUAUUAUCUUCGGAUCAAAGGAUUUAUCCGCUUUGGGAGCGGCUCGCGUCGGAUUAGGUAGUUGGUGAGGUAAUGGCUCACCAAGCCGACGAUCCGUAGCUGGUCUGAGAGGAUGACCAGCCAGACUGGAACUGAGACACGGUCCAGACUCCUACGGGAAGCAGCAGUGAGGAAUCUUCCACAAUGGGCGAAAGCCUGAUGGAGCAACGCCGCGUGCAGGACGAAGGCCUUCGGGUUGUAAACUGCUUUUAUAAGUGAGGAAUAUGACGGUAACUUAUGAAUAAGGAUCGGCUAACUACGUG
rnacentral:rRNA from 1 species